GACGAACGCUGGCGGCGUGCCUAAUACAUGCAAGUCGAGCGGACGGAUGGGAGCUUGCUCCCAGACCGUCAGCGGCGGACGGGUGAGUAACACGUGGGCAACCUGCCUGUAAGACUGGGAUAACUCCGGGAAACCGGGGCUAAUACCGGAUAACCCUUUCCCUCACAUGAGGGAAAGCUGAAAGAUGGCAUCUCGCUAUCACUUACAGAUGGGCCCGCGGCGCAUUAGCUAGUUGGUGAGGUAACGGCUCACCAAGGCGACGAUGCGUAGCCGACCUGAGAGGGUGAUCGGCCACACUGGGACUGAGACACGGCCCAGACUCCUACGGGAGGCAGCAGUAGGGAAUCUUCCGCAAUGGACGAAAGUCUGACGGAGCAACGCCGCGUGAGUGAUGAAGGUUUUCGGAUCGUAAAACUCUGUUGUCAGGGAAGAACAAGUACCGGAGUAACUGCCGGUACCUUGACGGUACCUGACCAGAAAGCCACGGCUAACUACGUG
rnacentral:rRNA from 1 species